rnacentral:tRNA from 1 species
GGGCGAUUAACUCAGUUGGUUUAGAGUGCCUGCUUUACACGCAGGAAGUCGGGAGUUCGAGUCUCUCAUCGCCCA